GAAAUGCGAUAAGUAGUGUGAAUUGCAGAAUUCAGUGAAUCAUCGAUUCUUUGAACGCACAUUGCGCCCCUUGGUAUUCCAUGGGGCAUGCCUGUUCGAGCGUCAUCUACACCCUCAAGCUCUGCUUGGUGUUGGGCGUCUUUGUCCCGCCUCCGCGCGCGGACUCGCCCCAAAUUCAUUGGCAGCGGUCCUUGCCUCCUCUCGCGCAGCACAUUGCGCUUCUCGAGGUGUUGCGGCCCGCGUCCAGAAAGCAAUCGUUACCGUCUUUGACCUCGGAUCAGGUAGGGAUACCCGCUGAACUUAAGC
rnacentral:misc_RNA from 1 species